CCUUCGAUAGCUCAGUUGGUAGAGCGGUGGACUGUAGUUGCUUGAAUAAUUGAAAUCCAUAGGUCGCUGGUUCAAAUCCGGCUCGAAGGA
rnacentral:tRNA from 1 species